GUCGUAAGUCGUAAGUCGUAAGUCGUCCCAGUGCCGCGCCACUUCAAAGCCGCCACAGCCGUCGUCCUUCGUAGCCGUUCACCAUUUGCCUUUCUCCUUCACCGUCCCCAUCGCUUUCUUUCCUCGCUUUGACGUCUUCGCUUCCAUCCUUCAUUGUUCUGCUCCCUCACAUCGCCUUCAUUGUCUUUCUCCAUCACCGUCGCCGAC
rnacentral:misc_RNA from 1 species